AAAAGUUCCUUUUUUCCAACUAAUGCAUACAUAUUUGGCUCUGGUUUGUAGCUGAAUUUCACCUAACCCAGUUCAUACUUUCCUACUCAAUUCGCUGUAGCUAUUUUGUUUCAUUUCUUUAAUAUUUAUAUUAACUAUGUUUAUUGGCACAAGGGAUUUUGAAAAUGUGUCACUAAUUAGUCUUUUCGCAGCUGCUAAUGUGCUAACCAUAGCUAUCACAUAUAUCCUGAACUGCAAAGUGGAGAUGUACAAUUUGUUGAGUUCUGACUAUACACACUCAGUUGCUGUGAUAAAAUGAAGAAAUAAACAUGUUUCUUUUCGGGUUGUGGAAGUCAAUUAUUUAAAAAGGCUUUAGAAAAUCUCAUUGGCAGGAAGUUGUUUCAUAUUUUCUAGAGCCAUUGAAAACUUCUUGUUGGGGUCUCUGAUUGUGUCAAAAAGUUGUUAAGCUCAUAAAUGAAUGUAUGAUCAAAGGGGGGUCAUGCCUCCUGUAGUUUUUAGUGUUCACUUUCUCAUCUCAGUGCAGAAUUGUCUCCUUUGUUUAUGUAUCCAGUUUGAGUUUGUCUGCUAUUUUGCUGACCAGCUGUUCAAAGCUUCUCACUAUUUGCAUGUACUUGCUCAUCUGUAAAGAGGGUCUCGAUGGCCUAAAAUGCAGACUUCCCUACUCUUUUUGUGAUAUGUGAACCUGAAAUAAUUUAUUAUUUAUAUAGGACAAUAUGAUGUUCACAAUGAUGCACAUGCUUCAGAUUGACUAUAUAGAUCCUAUGAUUAAAGAGGGACAAGUUUACUAUAUGGAGCUAUACGAGGUAUGAGCUUGAGGCGCUCUUAGUGGCGCGCCGUUGUGGGAGGCGCAUGCACUGUGGUGGGCCGAGGUGUGUACUACGUGGGAGACGCGAGGAAAAUGCUCAAUUCCUAUUUUGAUUGAGACGUCCAGUGAGAAUCUAGCAUCGACAUAAUGAGAGAGGAAUUCAGCCCUGAAGAAAGCACUGUCAAAUGAACCGGCAUAUAUUUCAUCACUUGGUUCUUCUAUCUAUGAAGUAGUGUGAACCUGCAUUCCAAAUUUCUUCUACAUGAGGCAGAUAUGCUAUAUUGCUAUUUGAGAUGUGAUUCUCCUGUCCUCAGAAGCAUGUUCUUUAUCCUAAUUUUUUGUAUGCUCUCUGUUCUUCAGAGAUUAUACUUAAAACAGUCUUGAUUAGUGUUACGG